GAUGAACGCUGGCGGCGUGCCUAAUACAUGCAAGUCGAGCGAACAGAUCAGGAGCUUGCUCCUCUUAAGUUAGCGGCGGACGGGCGCGUAACACGUGGAUAACCUCCCUCUACGACUGGCAUAACUUCGGCCAACCGGAGCUAAUACCAGUUCAUAUAUUGAACCGACUGGUUCAAUAGUGAAGGACGGUUUUGCUGUCACUUAUAGAUGGAUCCGCGGCGGAUUAGCUAGUUGGUAGGGUAACGGCUUACCAAGGCAACGAUCAGUAGCGGACCUGAGAGGAAGGUCCCCCACAUUGGAACUGAGACACGGUCCAAACUCCUACGGGAGGCAGCAGUGAGGAAUAUUGGUCAAUGGGCGAGAGCCUGAACCAGCCAAGUAGCGUGCAGGAUGACGGCCCUAUGGGUUGUAAACUGCUUUUAUAAGGGAAUAAAGUGGGUCACGUGUGACUUUUUGCAUGUACCUUAUGAAUAAGGACCGGCUAAUUCCGUG
rnacentral:rRNA from 1 species